CCGCCCGACGGGGGCCGCGGGGCGGGCGGGCCCACUCUGCCCGGCCGGGAUGGAACCGGGGGGGGUGGCGGUGCGGGGUUCGCCGUCCCCGAGGGCGGGGGCGAGGCGCCACCCGGGGCGGGCGGUUGUCAUGGAGACCCCCCCCACGGCUGGGCUGUUCCCGGUUGCGUCCUCCUCUCCCGCGCGGGCCCCCCCGGAGCGUAGGGGGGGAAGGGAUGGAGACCCCCCACCCCACCGCGGRGUCCUGGCUGGGCUCCCCCCUUCGGGACAGGUCGGCGGGGGCGGGGGGACCCCGGCGGCCGGAGCUGUCCACCGGGCGGCCGCUGACAGGCGGCCCCGGAGCCGCGGGAGCCUCCCGAGCUCGCGGAGGGCAGGCGAGGAGCCGGGAGCCCGGCACGCUCCGUCCCGGCGGGAUCCGCUCCCUUCCCUCCGGCCGCCCCGAGAGCCGCGGCUGCUCACGCACCUCCGCGCCGAAGGAAACACCCGGUCUCCAAGCGCAGCAGCAGCAGCUAAAUGUCUCGGUCCUUUUCUUGUUGUGAGGAAGUGA
rnacentral:lncRNA from 1 species